GCACUGCUAAAAACAGCCCGGCUCUGCUCGGCCCCUCGCUCAAACAAUGUCCUCCGGCCCGAGCAGCACAGACAGCCUCUGAUCGCAGCCCAGCCUUGGACCUAUUUCAGGGGAAAUUUACCCCAAAACCUCUCCACAAGGCCGUGGCCCUGAGCGCAUGCCCCAGGAAAAGCUAGGGAUGAGCACCUCCCUGAGCUACAAGUCGUUCUCCAAAGAGCAGCAAACUAUGGAUAACCUGGAGAAACAGCUGAUCUGUCCCAUCUGUUUGGAGAUGUUCACCAAGCCAGUGGUCAUCCUGCCCUGCCAGCACAAUCUCUGUCGGAAGUGCGCCAGUGACAUCUUCCAGGCCUCCAACCCCUACCUGCCGACCAGGGGAGGCACAACUGUGGCGUCGGGAGGCCGCUUCCGCUGUCCCUCCUGCCGGCACGAGGUGUUACUGGACCGACACGGCGUCUACGGGCUGCAGAGGAACCUGCUGGUGGAGAACAUCAUCGACAUCUACAAGCAGGAGUCCACAAGACCUGAAAGGAAGUGUGACCAGCCAAUGUGCGAAGAGCACGAAGAUGAGAGAAUUAAUAUUUAUUGUUUGAACUGUGAAAUGCCCACCUGCUCCUUGUGCAAAAUCUUUGGUGCCCACAAAGACUGUCAGGUUGCUCCCCUCACGAAUGUUUACCAGCAACAGAAGUCUGAGCUGAGUGAUGGCAUUGCAGUCCUGGUGGGGAGCAAUGACAGAAUGCAAGGGAUCGUCACACAGCUGGAGGAGACCUGCAAGACGGUUGAGGAAUGCUGCAAACGACAGAAAGAACAGUUGUGUGAAAAAUUUGAUUAUCUCUAUUCUGUACUGGAAGAAAGAAAAAAUGAGAUGACACAAAUAAUCACUAGAACCCAAGAGGAGAAACUGGAGCACGUCCGCUCCCUGAUGAAGAAGUAUGCGGAUCACUUGGAAGCUGUGUCAAAACUGGUUGAAUCAGGAAUCCAGUUCAUGGAAGAACCAGAAAUGGCUGUGUUUUUGCAGAAUGCCAAAACAUUGCUACAAAAAAUUACUGAAGCUUCUAAAGGAUUUCAAAUGGAAAAAAUAGAGGAUGGGUAUGAGAAUAUGAACCAAUUCACAGUGAACCUCAGUAGAGAAGAAAAAAUAAUACGAGAAAUUGAUUUUGACAGAGAGGAGGAGGGAGAAGAAGAGGAGGAGACAGAGGAUGGCGAAGGCUUGGGCGAAGUCCACACAGAGUCAUCAGGAGAGGAGGAAGAGGAGGAAGAGGUGGAAGAGGAAGGGUCAGAGGGAGCACCACAAGCACCUCAGCAGGACCCUGAAGCACAGAGUGCAGGGGGAGAGCCCCCGGCUGAACCCACUCCAGCACCGGUGCUGGGUGCCCCAGCUGGUCAGGAUGUUGUUGUGACACCAAGUGGUUCUCAACAGACUCCCGAGUCUGACACUCAAGUGCCGGCCACAGCAGAAACCAUCGAUCCCUUGUUUUACCCUAGCUGGUAUAAGUCCCAGUCACGGCAACCAAGCAGUCCAAGCUCAAGCCCGGUGAGUGGGCUGGGGAAAGUAGGGACUCCUGUUUCUCUGGAAACAAGUGCAAAGAAGGCAGAAGCCCCGACAGCAGCAACAAUCAAGGAGAGUGCACCAGGGAGUGGUAAGGAAAGUAAUGCCACUGCAGCGACGUCCAAGCACAUGUAUACAAGGAACAGAGUUGAGGGAGCUGUGCAAGGAUUUGCGCACUGCACCAGGUCCUGCUCCAGUGUCUGGUGACCAGCCCAUGAGCAGCACUCUGUAAAUCAAACCAUGAUCACAGGUGACACUGGCAUUUUGGAAGAAGGAGGAGGAUGUGGAGAAGAGUAGCUCAUGGUUCUGGUGAUGUGGGAGAAAGGAGCAGGGGAAACGGCUGAGGAUGAGAUUGCCAAUGGGCUGGAGACACAGCAAGAGAUAGGAAAGUGCAAGAAGCAGAAAUGUGCAGAAGAAUAGAAAAAGAGUAACCGAGUGAGGGUGAUGCCAUGAGAUGAUGCUGUGGUCAGAUUUAAGGACCUGAGCUGAGAUGUGUCUAUGUCACAAAGGAAAUGACUGCUGUCAUGGGGCAGUGAUCAUUUUCAAGAGUUAGCAUUCUGCAUAACACUUUUGGCAUUUCUUAUCAUACUACAUCGCCUUUGGAAUCUGAUUCAAUACAUGAUUUGUACUUUCAUGGACUGGUUCUGAGCCAUACCCUCAAGGACGAGUGGAGGAAGCUCCCGUGAGCAGUGAGAGGGGUGACGAGCCGGCUCGUCAUGUCUUCUCCUUCUCGUGGUUGAACUCACUGAAUGAGUGAUGACUCACCCUGGCUGGCUUGUGGUGUGCUUCUCCUCAGAAGGAUCGUGAGCACAGGCAGCCUGGCUGCAGUCAGCACAGAAACUGGCCUGGGAAGGGGCAUCCGAGCAGGUUUCAUUCCUAGGAACUCAGCUGACCUCCACACCAUACCCUUGAACUGACAGACCUGAGAGGGAGGGGAGCAUGGGGACAGAUUACUGUAUGUAUUGUAGUCAGAGUGUUUUCCAAUAUUUUCUUGCUUCCAAGGGGGAAGAAGCAUCACUACAGCUUUAGGCUGAGCACUGCUAGUGUUUUUUAACUCACUUGAUGGCACGUCCCCGUGUAGGUGUAAACACUUCACCAAUGUUCUUAGCUAAAACGCUGGUAUGAUAUUCUCUAGUAGCAUCCUUUGCCAAAACAGUGUUUCUCCUCGGUAUCCUCCUGCGUCCCCGCUUGUCAGUGCUGGUGACUUCAGUGACACUAUCGUGUCCUUGGCAGCCCUGAGUCGGGGUUGUGUCUAACAGUACUGGUGCUUCCCAGGCUGCGGAGGCUGAACACGGGAGCGAAGAAGGAAGCUGCCAUUUCUUCUUUUGCACUUGCUCUUCCUACUACACCACAACAGAUGACGCUCGCAGAAACACAUUAUUUGUAAGGAAAAUUCCCAGUGGCAGGAGUGAGGAAGAGACACUUAUCAAAAGCACUGGCCAAGACCCCCCCACAGCUCUGAGUGUGUGGGGCAGUUGCUGAAGUGCUGCCCAGUCUGUCCAGGCAUAACCUGUGUCCGUGUCUUCUCAGCCAUCAGUGUGUGUACAAAAGGGGACAUGUUCUUACAUGAAACCAGGGUGCAAUAAGGUGGUCACAGGUAUUCACUCAAGGUUUAAUUUGAAGCCCCUGUGCUGUGCUGUAGAAAAGGUAGAUGCUGACUUUCCUGUUCCAUGUGCAUUGCAGAUGUUGAGCCAUCAAAUGAAAUCAAAUUUGUGUCUUAAAAGAGGCUCUACAAGUUGUACUGAAGGCAACUCUCUGUGGUUUUUGUCACUGUGAGUAGGGUGUCAACACUCAGCAGUGUUUAAGAGAUUGGCAGGCUGCCGGGAUGCUCGGUGCCAUAGGGGACCAGGUGUCAAGCUCUGCACUAGGGUUACGUGUGGAUCUUUCCCAAAUGCCCGAGCCAGGCCCUCACUGCUCUGUUUUGGCAGGGGCCUGUGUGGGGCCAUAAGGCUGCGCUGUGCCCCGGCAGGACUGGUGAGCUGGCAGUGCAGGCUGGUUAGCUGGGGGGUCGACCCCUGUCCUGGACACCCGUUGCUACCGGCACUCGUUGGUGUCUGUUCUCUCUGGAGAACGUUCCCUGGAAAACUCUCCUGCAAGAGUUUUGGAGGCUGCACAGGCGAGCUCCGCGCAAAGCUUUGGAACUCGCACAGCCCAGAACGAGCGCCGCCCAGCACCGCCACCGCAUCGCCUCCGGCUGCUGGAGCAGCUUUUCCAUGGGAUUUGGUUCGGGGUGAGGGAUUUACUAUUUUCUCCCAGUCGUCCUGGAGAUUUCCCCCAGCUCCUCCCGGGAAGUUUCUCCACACCCACUGCAGCCUCCCUAGAAGUCCCUGGGAGGGACCCCGCUCGGGCACGGCCGUCGGGACGGGGGAAGCCGAAGCAGGGAGGAACCUGUCCUUUUGUGUGCGGGAAGGAUGCGAAAACGCAAAAGAGAUGCGGGAGCGCCUCACCGCUUUCCCACCGCUGCUCCCCGGCGGGAGGAGGCUGCCCGAUCCCGGCCACAGCUGCAGGAGGCAGGGAGCUCCCUCGGGGGGCUGCAGAGGUGGGAUUCGGCAGCUCUGGGGGGCACCGAUUUGCCCUCGACACCGCGCUCCCGGGAACAGCCUGCGCCGAGGGCGGCGGCGGGGGCAGCCCCCGUCCGGGGCCGGCGGCGUCGGGGCGCGACAGCGGGAGAGCCCGCGGAGACGGAGCUCCCCGGGAGGGAGGGAAACAUCCCCGGGGGAGAUCCAGGGCUUCCCGCGGCUCUGGGUGUCCACGGCCAUGGGUGCCCCCCCGCCCCGGUAAGCGCUGAGGGAGGAGGAGCAGCCCUCAGGCGUCUAGGCAAGAAAGUCUAUCGAGGCAUCUUUACUUUGCAGCUUUUAUUAAAAAUAUAAAUAUUAAACAUUCUCUUACACAA